rnacentral:rRNA from 1 species
GACGAACCGUGCAAACGUUGUUCGGAAUCACUGGGCUUAAAGGGCGCGUAGGCGGGCAAGCAAGUCCGGGGUGAAAUCUUUCGGCUCAACCGGAAAAGAGCCUUGGAUACUGCUUGUCUAGAGUGAGGUAGGGGCAUGUGGAACUUCCGGUGGAGCGGUGAAAUGCGUUGAUAUCGGAAGGAACGCCGGUGGCGAAAGCGACGUGCUGGACCUCUUCUGACGCUGAGGCGCGAAGCUAGGGGAGCAAACGGGAUUAGAAACCCUGGUAGUCC